AGAGCAGAGCCCUCUGCCUUGACACCAACUUCUAGACGAAACAGUGUCUAAUACUUGUGAGACACUCUGGAGUCCAGAGAGGCUUGUGAUGAGAUGAGACUUCUGUGAGACCAGUGUCUUUUUGUAACAGUAACUAGGAACCAGGAGGACAGCACAAGAGAAUCUUGGCUAGCACUGGACACCUCAUCAUGUCUGCCUGAGAGCUGGGGGUGUGAACUACCUGUGAAGUCAAGGCAGACAAUGUCCAUAGACCCUGGGGACUGAUUCCGCUUGAUCCACAGCAGACACCAUUGUAACCAGAACACCCACACAAGGCUGGUAGGCAGGACACAGGCUUUAACAGAGUCUUCUGGAGCAGCAGCUGGAGGCUAGGCAGGAUUUGCAGUAAAAAAUUGUGUGUAAGGAUCUGAACUGAACCCAGCCAGACAUUCGUGUUGCUUCUGUAGGCUAGUACUGGAAAGUGACAGUAAUUUAGAAGAAAUUAAACCAGAAUCUCUAUCAACUUUCAUCCAUCCAUCCAUCCAUCCAUCCAUCCAUCCAUCCAUCCAUCCAUCCAUCCAUCCAUCCAUCCCCAAGAAACAAGUAUCUACAAAUCUGAGCUGAACAGAAGAUCUAUAUACACCACCAGUUGUUAUAGUGACACACACCCCCUCCUGGCUGGAUGUUAUCUCCUGGAACCAGUAGCCUGGUUGCAAACUUCUGAGCACACCUAAUCUUUGCACUCCCUUCAUUGCCUAGCACAGAUUAUUUAAUAAUCCCAUGAUCAGCAGUAUUUGAAUAAGACGGACAGUUAUCAAAAGUGCUCCAGUUAAAGCUGAAUACAGCAUUAUGCCUAUUCCUCUAAACUGAUAAGCACUUGGGAUAGGCAAAAUUCCCACAAAGAAUGAGAUGCAAGGCAAGUUACUUGAAGUCCUGCCUCUGGUCCCUUUGCAUCAGCCACCCUGGGAAGCAGCAGGGAUGUGCACAGCUCCUGUCCUAUACCACAGCACUGGAUGAACCUUACAGAGCUACCCCUAAAAUACUACUCUGGAGCAGGACGAAGUUUAGAAGCACAGUAUCAAAAGGGUAUAGCCCCAUCUGCUGAAUGUUGAUCUCCACAGGUCUGUCAGCAUCAUCAAGGAUUAGGUUGUACCUUUUGGCCUUCUGAAAAAUGUCUCUUUACUCUGUGCAUGACCAGUCCUUGAUUGACUCGUUCCUCAGCUUUCCUUUCCCACAUAAAAAUUGUAUCCCAAAUGUAACUGGAUCCUUCUAUAAUUAAAGAAAUGAGAAAUUAGGAUGACUUAAUUUGAAAAAUAUACUCUGAAGUAGGCUGAAUCUCAAGGACUUCAUAGUGUACAAGAACUGUAUUUGAUUUCAAGACUUGCUUUCAUUUUUGAAUUGAGACUUGUGCAUUUCAGUCUCCCACAUGCCACGUGAGUCCCAGUGCCUGUGCUGCAGGUCUGCCCUCUCUAUUCACACACAAACCAAUCUGGAUCUAAACACAUUUCUCAAAAAAUCUUUCAAAGUAGAAAAUACUUCCACAAAAAUACUUUGUUUUCAACAAACUGUCAAGAACUUUGCCUAAAAUCUGUUAGUAUUAAAGCAGAGUGCAUUUCAAAUACAGUGGAUGACACAAAUAUGAAACUGUAUUUCAAAGCCCCUGAUCUACUCAGAGAGACAUCCUGGAGAGCUGUUCAGAAUAAACCCAUGUAACAGGCAAGUCCUCAGAGCCAGACCACCAAAAAGCCAAUGUUCCUGCUUGAAAAAGUGAAGCCUUUUCCCCUGCUCACCUUUUGAGGUCUCAGCUCAAAUCCUCUUUAGAAGAGCAGACAAGUA